GACGGGGGGGGCAAGCGUUCUUCGGAAUGACUGGGCGUAAAGGGCACGUAGGCGGUGAAUCGGGUUGAAAGUGAAAGUCGCCAAAAAGUGGCGGAAUGCUCUCGAAACCAAUUCACUUGAGUGAGACAGAGGAGAGUGGAAUUUCGUGUGUAGGGGUGAAAUCCGUAAAUAUACGAAGGAACGCCAAAAGCGAAGGCAGCUCUCUGGGUCGCUACCGACGCUGGGGUGCGAAAGCGUGGGGAGCGAACAGG
rnacentral:rRNA from 1 species